GCUAAGCUGUGUCAAGAUGGUGGCGCCCCGGGCCGGCCUUGUGGGACUUGUAGUUUCGAGGUUGCACGUACUUAGAAGAAAGUGAAGGGGGCCUCGCUUCCCAGCUGUGAAAGAAUUUUUUUUUGAAAAAACCCGACACUUCCUAAAGGCCUAGAACGACCCAAGGCCCCCACUUCUGUUUUUCCACCUUCCACUGUUCUCACGAGAAAGAGUUGUGAUUCACAUGCCCAGAGGUAUGCCCACAGCCCUGUCCCAACGGCAGAAGGUCGGCUUAGGCUAUCUGGCCACUAGUCAGAGGCAAAGAAUCCCCAAGAAGGAUUGGAACUUCUUCCAGCAUUCUGAGAUCCUCGAGGAAGAAGCCUGUGUUUUACUUGUCUUUCUCUUCCACGUGUGUCUGUUUGAUGAAUAAGUCAAGUCUGUUUCCUCUGCUACAACAUGGAGAUAAAACCUACGUAAACAAGAAAGUGGACAAAGCACCCACCACAGCACCCAAGCAGCAUGAGGGGUGCUCAGUGAGUGAAGUUUCCUUCAUCAGGUUUCCCUUCAGGCCAGAGGGACUGAUUGUUGCUUGCUGAGGUGCUUUGCACUGUUCUGCCUCCAAGACUUUGCUGGUGGUGUUCUCUCAGCUGGAUCCCCUACCGCUGGACGCCUGGAGAGAUGCACUGUCUCAGCAUGCACUUCCUCAUCCUCAAGUGGCUGUUGCUUCCCCCUCCCUGAGUCCCCAAACCCUGUCUCCCGGUCCUGCCCUGAACAGCACUCACCAACCCACAGGCGGGGCUUACUCCUGACCGCAGCCCCCAGGACCUGAGGGUGCAGUAGGGCUGUUGGCAGGGCAUCCAAGGCCUUCGGGGGAUGUCCUCCAGGAACCCCAGCUGAACUAAGAUCGUGAGUGUAUACUUUUUCAAGACGCCACAAACAUUCUUUGAAUA